rnacentral:rRNA from 1 species
UACGUAGGGUGCAAGCGUUAUCCGGAAUUAUUGGGCGUAAAGAGCUCGUAGGCGGUUUGUCGCGUCUGCUGUGAAAACCCGAGGCUCAACCUCGGGCCUGCAGUGGGUACGGGCAGACUAGAGUGCGGUAGGGGAGAUUGGAAUUCCUGGUGUAGCGGUGGAAUGCGCAGAUAUCAGGAGGAACACCAGUGGCGAAGGCGGUUGCCUGGGGCUUUGCUGACGCUGAUGCGCGAAAGCGUGGGGAGCGAUCCGG